GGGGCUUUCUUCUUGAUUGGGAUCUCCUUCUUCAUUUGGAGGCUGGCUUUCUUUCUGAUUGGGAUCUCCUUCUUCAUUCAGAGCCCCCCAAUUUUGAGGCCAGCAAGGAUAAUCCUCGAGGGGCAUUAGCUAAUAUCAGUUGAUUCAUGGAUGGUUGGACCAUCUAGCUGAUUUUGAAGUGGACGGUCGAAUCUCAUUGAUGUCAGAGUAGCACGAUGAAGCUCCUCUCGUUGGA
rnacentral:lncRNA from 1 species